rnacentral:rRNA from 1 species
AUUGAACGCUGGCGGCAUGCCUUACACACGCAAGUCGAACGGCAGCACGGGUGCUUGCACCUGGUGGCGAGUGGCGAACGGGUGAGUAAUACAUCGGAACGUACCUUAUCGUGGGGGAUAACGCAGCGAAAGCUGUGCUAAUACCGCAUACGCCCUGAGGGGGAAAGCGGGGGAUCGAAAGACCUCGCGCGAUUCGAGCGGCCGAUGCCUGAUUAGCUUGUUGGUGGGGUAAAAGCCCACCAAGGCGACGAGCAGUAGCUGGUCUGAGAGGACGAUCAGCCACACUGGGACUGAGACACGGCCCAGACUCCUACGGGAGGCAGCAGUGGGGAAUUUUGGACAAUGGGGGCAACCCUGAUCCAGCAAUGCCGCGUGAGUGAAGAAGGCCUUCGGGUUGUAAAGCUCUUUUGUCAGGGAAGAAACACCGGCUCUAACACAGUCCGGGAGUGACGGUACCUGAAGAAUAAGCACCGGCUAACUACGUGCCAGCAGCCGCGGUAA